rnacentral:misc_RNA from 1 species
GAAAUGCGAUAAGUAAUGUGAAUUGCAGAAUUCAGUGAAUCAUCGAAUCUUUGAACGCACAUUGCGCCCCCUGGUAUUCCGGGGGGCAUGCCUGUUCGAGCGUCAUUUCACCACUCAAGCCUCGCUUGGUAUUGGGCGACGCGGUCCGCCGCGCGCCUCAAAUCGACCGGCUGGGUCUUCCGUCCCCUCAGCGUUGUGGAAACUAUUCGCUAAAGGGUGCCGCGGGAGGUCACGCCGCAAAACAACCCCAUUUCUAGGUUGACCUCGGAUCAGGUAGGGAUACCCGCUGAACUUAAGC